GAUGAAGAACGCAGCGAAAUGCGAUAAGUAAUGCGAAUUGCAGAAUCCGUGAGUCAUCGAAUCUUUGAACGCACAUUGCGCCCCUUGGUUAUUCCGAAGGGCAUGCCUGUUCGAGCGUCAUUAUCACCCCUCAAGCACGGCUUGUGUGUUGGGCCCCGCCCCCCGAUCCCGGGGGGCGGGCCCGAAAGGCAGCGGCGGCACCGCGUCCGGUCCUCGAGCGUAUGGGGCUUUGUCACCCGCUCUGUAGGCCCGGCCGGCGCUUGCCGAUCAACCAAACUUUUUUCCAGGUUGACCUCGGAUCAGGUAGGGAUACCCGCUGAACUUAAGCAUAUCAAUAAGCGGAGGA
rnacentral:misc_RNA from 1 species